rnacentral:tRNA from 1 species
GCCCGGUUAGUUCGGCCGGUAGAGCGUUGGACUUUUAAUCCAAACGGUCAAGGGUUCAAGUCCCUUAUGGGGCU